rnacentral:misc_RNA from 1 species
GGGGAGUACGGCCGCAAGGUUAAAACUCCCC